UACGGAGACCUCGAGCGUUACUCGGAUUUACUGGGCGUAAAGGGUUCGUAGGUGGUCAGGUGUGUCGGGUGUGAAAUCUCACAGCUUAACUGUGAAACUGCGCCCGAAACUACUUGGCUAGAGACUCGGAGGGGUAAGCGGAAUUCCAGGUGUAGCGGUGAAAUGCGUAGAUAUCUGGAGGAACACCAACGGCGAAGGCAGCUUACUGGACGAGAUCUGACACUGAGGAACGAAAGUAUGGGUAGUGAAAGGG
rnacentral:misc_RNA from 1 species